CUGGAUACUCUAAGAAAGAGGAAAAUACUAGAUUGUAAAAAGGACGACAAUUUUCUUGCAACACAGAUAAACAUAUAUCGGUGUUAUUGAUAUUACUUAAUACUUUAGAAAAUAUCUAAAAGUGAUACGAUAUACUUAUUUGUGUACUUACUUAAUCGAUGCUUGCUUUGUGCCUCCUUACAGCAGUCAGGAUGGAGAAGGUGGUACCAGCUGACUCCGUGCAAUGAACUUCGCUCCCAACCUAAAUGCCACUCGCUACUGGACAAAAAAAAAACAGAAUUUUAAUUAAGUCUUACUUGGUGUCAACGUGGAGUAUCUUCAUGUCCAUGGCGUGCAGAGUGGUGAAUACGUUGGUGGCUCCGUGCACCACGCACUCGCGGGUCUCCGGCAUCGCGAGCGGCGUGCACACCGCCACAAACACCGGCUCGUUGCGGCUGCACAGCGGCAGAUAUGACACGUAGUGACCCCGCACAAGAACUACCUAAAAAGGAAUAGGUAUGAUUAAAAUUAAUCGUACAGUUGAA